rnacentral:rRNA from 1 species
AGAGUUUGAUCAUGGCUCAGGAUGAACGCUGGCGGCGUGCCUGAUACAUGCAAGUCGAACGGGCCGACUAGACUUGGGCGGUCGAGCGGAGAUAGCGGGCAAGAAAUUGUUCAAAAUCCGAGCGGAGCAAGAAGAGUCGUUGUUGGUCAGUGGCGGACGGGUGAGUAACACGUGGGUCAUCUGCCUCGAGGUGGGGAACAACUAUUCGAAAGGGUAGCUAAUUCCGCAUGUGGUCCGAGAGGAAGAAAGGCCGGAAGACCGCCUUGAGAUGAGCCCGCGGCCGAUUAGCUAGUUGGUGAAGUAAGAGCCCACCAAGGCGACGAUCGGUAGCUGGUCUGAGAGGAUGAUCAGCCACACUGGGAUUGAGAACGGCCCAGACUCCUACGGGAGGCAGCAGUAAGGGAUAUUGCACAAUGGGGGAAACCCUGAUGCAGCAACGCCGCGUGGGUGAAGAAGGCUUUCGAGUCGUAAAACCCUUUUCUAGGGGAAGAGGAAGGACAGUACCCUAGGAACAAGUCUCGGCUAACUACGUGCCAGCAGCCGCGGUAAGACGUAGGAGGCGAGCGUUAUCCGGAUUCAUUGGGCGUAAAGGGCAAGUAGGCGGUUGUCAAAGUUGGGCGUGACAUCUCCUGGCUUAACUAGGAGGGGUCGUUCAAAACUAGGCGACUAGAGGGCAGAAGAGGAAAGCGGAACUCCUGAUGUAGCGGUGGAAUGCUCAGAUAUCAGGAAGAACACCAGUGGCGAAAGCGGCUUUCUGGUCUGCACCUGACGCUGAGAGGCGAAGCCAGGGUAGCGAACGGGCUUAGAUACCCCGGUAGUCCUGGCGGUAAACGGUGGAUACUAGGUAUCAGGGUCAAGGCCUUUGGUGCCGAAGCCAACGCGUUAAGUAUCCCGCCUGGGGACUACGGCCGCAAGGUUAAACUCAAAGGAAUUGACGG